AUAGAACGCUGGCGGCAGGCCUAACACAUGCAAGUCGAACGGUAACAGGAGGAACCUUGCUUUUUUGCUGACGCGUGGCGCGCGGGUGAGUCAUGUCUGGGACACUGCUUGAUGGCGGGGGUUAACUACUGGAACCGGUACCUAAAACCGCAUAACGUUGCAAGCCCAAAGAGCGGUACCGACGGGCCUCUUGCCUUCGGCUGUUCCCAGAUGGCAUUAGCUAGUAGGUGGGGUAACGGGUCACCUAGGCGACGAUCCCUAGCUGGUCUGAGAGGAUGACCAGCCACACUGGAACUGAGACACGGUCCAGACUCCUACGGGAGGCAGCAGUAGGGAAUAUUGCACAAUGGGCGCAAGCCUGAUGGAGCCAUGCCGCGUGUAUGAUGAAGGCCUUCGGAUUGUAAAGUUCUUUCAGCGGGGAGGAAGAAAGUAGAGUUAAAACCUGUGCUCAUUGACGGUACCCGCAGAAGAAGCACCGGCUAACUCCGUG
rnacentral:rRNA from 1 species